ACCUCGAAGAUGAAGAACACACUCUUACAAUUCAUUGUACUCUGCUGGAGUCUCUUCAGUGUAAAGUGUCAAAGUUUGGAGUCUAUUCCUAAUACUCCAGUACUUCAAAAGAUUGGAGAAACUUUGAGCAUCUCCUGUAGAGCAGUAGGAUAUGAUUUUGGUUCUUAUGGCAUGAGCUGGGUACGACAACCUACUGGAAAGCCUUUAAAAUGGAUUGGGCAUAUCAACACUGCCUCUGGAGAGACAUAUUAUGAGAAAAGCAUUGAGGGACGAAUAGAAAUAACAAAAGACAACAGCAAAGGCAUUUCGUAUCUGAAACUUUCUGGUCUGACGGCGGAGGAUUCUGCUGUGUAUUACUGUGCACGACAAACACAGUGAUACAUCUGGUGUUACAGAUCAACAUAAACUUCAAACAGGCUAAAUAACAUUGUUGCAUAUAGGCACUAUAGGCAGAUAAAAUUUCCUCAUUUCAAGAGGUGGCAGCACAGAACAACAAAUACAGUGAAGACAUUACAACUAAACUUUUUAUAGGAUCUAAAUGAUUGCUUUUAAA